rnacentral:rRNA from 1 species
ACGGAAGGCAGCAGUGGGGAAUAUUGCACAAUGGGGGAAACCCUGAUGCAGCGACGCCGCGUGAACGAAGAAGUAUUUCGGUAUGUAAAGUUCUAUCAGCAGGGAAGAAAAUGACGGUACCUGACUAAGAAGCCCCGGCUAACUACGUGCCAGCAGCCGCGGUAAUACGUAGGGGGCAAGCGUUAUCCGGAUUUACUGGGUGUAAAGGGAGCGUAGACGGCAUUGCAAGUCUGAAGUGAAACUCCGGGGCUCAACCCCGGAACUGCUUUGGAAACUGCAGAGCUUGAGUACCGGAGGGGUAAGCGGAAUUCCUAGUGUAGCGGUGAAAUGCGUAGAUAUUAGGAGGAACACCAGUGGCGAAGGCGGCUUACUGGACGGUAACUGACGUUGAGGCUCGAAAGCGUGGGGAGCAAACAGGAUUAGAUACCCUGGUA